rnacentral:rRNA from 1 species
ACGAAGGGUGCAAGCGUUAAUCGGAAUUACUGGGCGUAAAGCGCGCGUAGGUGGUUCAGUAAGUUGGAAGUGAAAUCCCCGGGCUCAACCUGGGAACUGCUUUCAAAACUGCUGGGCUAGAGUACAGUAGAGGGUAGUGGAAUUUCCUGUGUAGCGGUGAAAUGCGUAGAUAUAGGAAGGAACACCAGUGGCGAAGGCGACUACCUGGACUGAUACUGACACUGAGGUGCGAAAGCGUGGGGAGCAAACAGG